rnacentral:rRNA from 1 species
GUGGGGAAUUUUGGACAAUGGGGGCAACCCUGAUCCAGCCAUCCCGCGUGUGCGAUGAAGGCCUUCGGGUUGUAAAGCACUUUUGGCAGGGAAGAAAAGUUUCGGGCUAAUACCCUGGAGCGAUGACGGUACCUGCAGAAUAAGCACCGGCUAACUACGUGCCAGCAGCCGCGGUAAUACGUAGGGUGCAAGCGUUAAUCGGAAUUACUGGGCGUAAAGCGUGCGCAGGCGGUUCGGAAAGAAAGAUGUGAAAUCCCAGGGCUUAACCUUGGAACUGCAUUUUUAACUGUCGAACUCGAGUAUGUCAGAGGGGGGUAGAAUUCCACGUGUAGCAGUGAAAUGCGUAGAGAUGUGGAGGAAUACCGAUGGCGAAGGCAGCCCCCUGGGAUAAUACUGACGCUCAUGCACGAAAGCGUGGGGAGCAAACAGGAUUAGAAACCCCUGUAGUCC